GGGCGGGCGGGGAGCCUACACAUGCAAGUCGAACGAAGCGUGCGGAUGGAAUUUCUUCGGAGAGGAAGCCUGCAUGACUGAGUGGCGGACGGGUGAGUAACGCGUGGGCAACCUGCCCUGCACAGGGGGACAACAGCCGGAAACGGCUGCUAAUACCGCAUAAGCGCACAGCUUCGCAUGGAGCGGUGUGAAAAGCUGCGGCGGUGCAGGAUGGGCCCGCGUCUGAUUAGCUGGUUGGCGGGGCAACGGCCCACCAAGGCGACGAUCAGUAGCCGGCCUGAGAGGGUGGACGGCCACAUUGGGACUGAGACACGGCCCAGACUCCUACGGGAGGCAGCAGUGGGGAAUAUUGCACAAUGGGGGAAACCCUGAUGCAGCGACGCCGCGUGAGCGAAGAAGUAUUUCGGUAUGUAAAGCUCUAUCAGCAGGGAAGAAAUUGACGGUACCUGAGUAAGAAGCUCCGGCUAAAUACGUGCCAGCAGCCGCGGUAAUACGUAUGGAGCAAGCGUUAUCCGGAUUUACUGGGUGUAAAGGGAGCGUAGGCGGCCUGCCAAGUCUGAUGUGAAAUACCGGGGCUCAACCCCGGGGCUGCAUUGGAAACUGGCAGGCUGGAGUGUCGGAGAGGCAGGCGGAAUUCCUAGUGUAGCGGUGAAAUGCGUAGAUAUUAGGAGGAACACCAGUGGCGAAGGCGGCCUGCUGGACGAUGACUGACGCUGAGGCUCGAAAGCGUGGGGAGCAAACAGGAUUAGAUACGCUGGUAGUCCACGCCGUAAACGAUGAACACUANGUGUCGGGGAGCG
rnacentral:rRNA from 1 species